CCUACGGGAGGCAGCAGUGGGGAAUAUUGCACAAUGGGGGAAACCCUGAUGCAGCAACGCCGCGUGAGUGAAGAAGUAUUUCGGUAUGUAAAGCUCUAUCAGCAGGGAAGAAGAUGACGGUACCUGAGUAAUACGCACCGGCUAACUACGAGCCAGCAGCAGCGGUAAUACGUAGGGGGCGAGCGUUAUACUGAUUUAAUGGGGGGAAAGGGAGCUUAGACGGUGAUGCAAGUCGGAAGUGAAAGCACUGGGCUCAACCCCGGGCAUGCUUUGGAAACUGCCUGACUGGAGUGCUGGAGAGGCAAGCGGAAUUCCUAGUGUAGCGGUGAAAUGCGUAGAUAUUAGGAAGAACACCAGUGGCGAAGGCGGCUUGCUGGACAGUAACUGACGUUGAGGCUCGAAAGCGUGGGGAGCAAACAGGAUUAGAUACCCUUGUAGUC
rnacentral:rRNA from 1 species